rnacentral:rRNA from 1 species
UACAGAGGUCCCGAGCGUUGUUCGGAUUUAUUGGGCGUAAAGGGUGCGUAGGCGGCGGAGUAAGUUGGGUGUGAAAUCCCGAGGCUCAACCUCGGAAGUGCAUUCAAUACUGCUUCGCUCGAGUACUGGAGAGGAGGCUGGAAUUUACGGUGUAGCAGUGAAAUGCGUAGAUAUCAGGAGGAACACCGGUGGCGAAGGCGGGGCUCUGGGCCGAUACUGACGCUGAGGAGCGAAAGCGUGGGGAGCGAACAGG